rnacentral:rRNA from 1 species
CCUACGGGAGGCAGCAGUGGGGAAUUUUGGACAAUGGGCGCAAGCCUGAUCCAGCCAUGCCGCGUGCAGGAUGAAGGCCUUCGGGUUGUAAACUGCUUUUGUACGGAACGAAAAGACUCCUUCUAAUAAAGGGGGUCCAUGACGGUACCGUAAGAAUAAGCACCGGCUAACUACGUGCCAGCAGCCGCGGUAAUACGUAGGGUGCAAGCGUUAAUCGGAAUUACUGGGCGUAAAGCGUGCGCAGGCGGUUAUAUAAGACAGAUGUGAAAUCCCCGGGCUCAACCUGGGAACUGCAUUUGUGACUGUAUAGCUAGAGUACGGCAGAGGGGGAUGGAAUUCCGCGUGUAGCAGUGAAAUGCGUAGAUAUGCGGAGGAACACCGAUGGCGAAGGCAAUCCCCUGGGCCUGUACUGACGCUCAUGCACGAAAGCGUGGGGAGCAAACAGGAUUAGAUACCCUGGUAGUCCACGCCCUAAACGAUGUCAACUGGUUGUUGGGAAUUCACUUUCUCAGUAACGAAGCUAACGCGUGAAGUUGACCGCCUGGGGAGUACGGCCGCAAGGUUGAAACUCAAAUGAAUUGACGG